UCACUCUAUAGGUGUGCACAUUCAGCUUGAUACUGAAGAACGUCGCGUCGCUGUUCAUGAAUAAGGAUUCCCUCAAGGUUGAAACCGAUACUAGGCUUGGGGAGCUCAUAAAGUAUGUUUAUAGCUAGCUAGCAUCACGUGAGACUCACAGAAUUAUUGGUUGUUCUAUCGAGUAAACUUUGGCUCGAUGACCUUGUCUUCUACUGGUCAUUCUCUGAACUAGGAACUCUGGUGGAGAACAAUUAUUUUGAGCUCGCAGAUGAUAGAGCGCAUAUCUAUGAGAAAUCGAGUUUUGACUAGAACAGAUCAGAUGAAAGAAGAUAUUGAACUGAAAUUGAUGGCUACCAGAAUUCACAGGGCAUCCAUUACCAAGGGAUGGAGCUUAAGGACACGCCUGCACCGCUAGAGAAGUUUUUUGCAAUUGUGA